rnacentral:rRNA from 1 species
GGCAGGCCUAACACAUGCAAGUCGAGCGCGAAAGGCCUUCGGGCUGAGUAGAGCGGCGGACGGGUGAGUAACGCGUAGGAAUCUACCUGGUAGUGGGGGACAACUUGGGGAAACUCAAGCUAAUACCGCAUACGCCCUAAGGGGGAAAGCGGGGGAUCUUCGGGCCUCGCGCUAUCAGAUGAGCCUGCGUAGGAUUAGCUAGUUGGUGAGGUAAAGGCUCACCAAGGCGACGAUCCUUAGCUGGUCUGAGAGGAUGAUCAGCCGCACUGGGACCGAGACACGGCCCAGACUCCUACGGGAGGCAGCAGUGGGGAAUAUUGCGCAAUGGGGGCAACCCUGACACAGCCAUGCCGCGUGUGUGAAGAAGGCCUUCGGGUUGUAAAGCACUUUCAAUGGGGAAGAAAAGCGUAGUGUUAAUAGCGUUGCGCCGUGACGUUACCCAUAGAAGAAGCACCGGCUAACUCCGUGCCAGCAGCCGCGGUAAUACGGAGGGUGCGAGCGUUAAUCGGAAUUACUGGGCGUAAAGCGCGCGUAGGCGGUUUGUUAAGUCAGCUGUGAAAGCCCCGGGCUUAACCUGGGAACUGCAGUUGAUACUGGCCGACUAGAGUACGAGAGA